UACGGAGGGGGCAAGCGUUGUACGGAAUCACUGGGUUUAAAGGGUGCGUAGGCUGCUGCAUAAGUCAGGGGUGAAAGUUUGUCGCUUAACGAUAGAAUUGCCUUUGAUACUGUGCGGCUUGAAAUUAGGUGAGGUUGGCGGAAUGUGACAUGUAGCGGUGAAAUGCGUAGAUAUGUCAUAGAACACCGAUUGCGAAGGCAGCUGGCUAACCUAAAUUGACGCUGAGGCACGAAAGCGUGGGGAGCGAACAGG
rnacentral:rRNA from 1 species